GGAGUAUGUCUCAGCAGAAGAGCUCUGUGAUGCCCAGUGUCUGGCCAGGGCCCCCCAACUUUCCCUGGCCUGGGGUUCCAGCAGAGAGCUGAUCCUCAAUGUGAAGAGUGAGGCAGGAGACAGUGACCAGAGGAUCGCUCAGCCAGUCACUACCCUGUGUACCAGAUGCAGCAUCUGUUUAACAGCAACCCCCACUGGGACUUUGGGGCCUUCAGGAGACUCAGCCACCUGGUACAAGAGACUCACCUCAACUUCUCAAGGUUUGCCCACCAGUUCCUAGAUCCAGGCACAUAUGUGUUUCGAGACAAUGGACUGCCUGAAAGCGUCAUCGUGGUGCUGGUGAAGAAGAAAGGAGUGGCCUGUGAUCCCAGUCUAUCCCCCGUACAGCCCUCCUCCCCAUAUCAGCUUACCAGGCAUGGGGUUCUCAGGCACAGGCUGCCAAACCUGGGCCCAGACUGGGCAGUGAUCACAGGAGAGCCAUUCCCUGUGAAGAUCCUAGAGGACUUCAGCAUCCGUACCCUCUACGACAAGCUUGAGGACCAGAGCCUGCAUGUGGCAGCCCAGCUGAACAAGCACAGGAGUGAUGCACUAGCCUUCUACAGGGGUGCAAGCCAGCAGCUCCAGGGCCUCAAGGACAUUCUGCAGCAUCUCAGCACAACUGAACAGCAAACUCUGGGCAGGGGUAGAGACCCAGGGAAGGAGGUCAAAGCUGCUUCCAGGACAUACACUGGGCAGAGUGAGGAAUCUUGGGGCCGCCACACUGCAGCUUCACCCAGGGAGCACUGGCAGCGUCCUCUAGGCUGCACUGCCAGUGUCUCACUCCUGGACUUUCAGCCAGAGCUUGACAGAGUGAUCGUGGCCCUGGCAUCGGCACUUUCUCAUGCAUGUGGGCAGUCAGCUGGUGCCAGCAGAAAGGUCUCUGGUCAGGUUGGUGAACAGCCUCCCCCCAGCUGUCAACAAGAUUCUCACCUGGCAAGUAACAUGCCCCUGAAGCCACAGCUUCUACCCUCGGAUGAUGAGCACCAAAGUACAAGGUGGGGGCAGGUAUCAGCACUAAGCCUUGCACAUAGCAGCUGUAUUCUUUGGUUGUUGUCCUUAACUCCCAGUACUGAGAAUCUUAUUUUUCAUAACCAGAACCUGAUUUAAAGCCUUAACCCACUCAAAUCCAGCUGAAGGCUUUGGGAUGCUCUGCCCAUAGUAAUUCACCCAUUGUCCUGGCUACCUUGGUUUACCAAGGGGUUCGCUGGUUUGAGUAACUCAUCA
rnacentral:lncRNA from 1 species